rnacentral:rRNA from 1 species
GACGAACGCUGGCGGCGUGCUUAACACAUGCAAGUCGAACGGAAAGGCCCUGCUUUUGUGGGGUGCUCGAGUGGCGAACGGGUGAGUAACACGUGAGUAACCUGCCCUUGACUUUGGGAUAACUUCAGGAAACUGGGGCUAAUACCGGAUAGGAGCUCCUGCUGCAUGGUGGGGGUUGGAAAGUUUCGGCGGUUGGGGAUGGACUCGCGGCUUAUCAGCUAGUUGGUGAGGUAGUGGCUUACCAAGGGUUUGAAGGGUAGCCGGCCUGAGAGGGUGACCGGCCACGCUGGAACUGAGACACGGUCCAGACGCCGACGGGAGGCAGCAGGAGGGAAUCUUCCGCAAGGGGCGAAAGCCUGACGGAGCAACGCCGCGUGAGUGAUGAAGGUCUGCGGAUCGUAAAACGCUGUUAUUAGGGAAGAACAAAUGUGUAAGUAACUAUGCACGUCUGGACGGUACCUAAGCAGAAAGCCACGGCUAACUACGU